AACAAAGUUUGUACGUCACUGAGUGAUUUACCUUCUUUCAUCAGGAACUUAGCAAGUUUCUCAGUAAAAUCUCCAGAGGCAGUGUCAGGUACGGAUUCUCUUGGUUGGACUGCUGUGAUGGUCCAUGGCUCUUUAUUUUCUCCAGGUGACACUUCUGGAGGUAGGUGUGUGGUGUCAAUGGCUUGUCUGCACUCACACAACGCAAAGACAAAUCGUGAGGUAGGUCCUUCUCUUGUGUCUCUGACACGAACUCUUCCUAGGGCUUUUAUGGUUUCCAAAGUCUCUUCCAUCUUAGCCACUUCUGUGUGUACAGGUACAUUACUCAACAUUAAAGCAUGACCCUCAUCAACACCAACAUCUUUGCACCAGCUGAUUAACUCUGCUUGCAGGAAUUCUUCAGUGACUUACCAGAGGGAGAUCCCGGACGAGCCCCCAAUUUAUGUAGCGCCCCCUACCUCCUUUUAUAAUGGCUUAGUAAGGAGCAGCACCAGGUUCAAUAAACUAAUGCCUAAGAGAUGGUGUAUUAAAAAGGCCCCUCUGA